CAUAUCGCUUGGAAAAGGAAGAGUAAAAGAGGGCACUGACGCCCAGAGAGCCUGCCUGAAUGCUGUGAAGGCGGCCGUCACCUCUCUUUGAAGCCGCCUUGGAGCUCUGCUUUUGAACCGUUCAGUAGAAAGCAGCGGACAGGACUCCGUUAUCAGUCGCAAGUCUAUGGAAGACUUCAUGAGUCUGUUUUUCGUGAGGAAAACAGAAAGCUGAGUGGUACCGCGAACAGAUCGCCUCAGCA
rnacentral:ncRNA from 1 species